AGACAGCAGUAGCCGCGGUAAUACGUAGGUGGCAAGCGUUGUCCGGAUUUAUUGGGCGUAAAGCGAGCGCAGGCGGUUUCUUAAGUCUGAUGUGAAAGCCCCCGGCUCAACCGGGGAGGGUCAUUGGAAACUGGGAGACUUGAGUGCAGAAGAGGAGAGUGGAAUUCCAUGUGUAGCGGUGAAAUGCGUAGAUAUAUGGAGGAACACCAGUGGCGAAGGCGGCUCUCUGGUCUGUAACUGACGCUGAGGCUCGAAAGCGUGGGGAGCGAACAGGAUUAGAUACCCCUGUAGUCCCUGUCUCUUAUAU
rnacentral:rRNA from 1 species